UCAUUCAUUCAAAAAAGAAACAACAACAGUGUUCAAUCGACGUCGUCGUAAUUUAUUAUUAACAGCAUCAAAACCGCUUUAACUUGACAGUCUUUUUUCGGCACGUUUCCAGACCACAUCUGCCGUCGCUGGCUGGCACCGUGCCAGGUUCACCAAUAAUCCAGAAAAAAAAAAUUCACUAACCUAAACAAACCGACAAGGAAAAAACAUAAAAAUAGAAAAAGGACGUCGCACAUUAUCCUGUUACGUUAGUUCGGUGCAGUAGUAGUAGUAGUCGUAUAUCGAAUAUAACUCGAGAAAAAAUGAGUUUCACCAGGUUGUUAAUGAGAAAUUUCACGGUUUUUCUGUUGGUCGUACUGUUGGUGGUCGUGCAGUUCGGUGACCCGUUGUCGGCCCUACCGGUGGAGAAAACCCUGGGAACUACAGUGAUUAAAGUGGGAAACAAGACGGAAACCGGAUGCCUCUACGGGUUCGAGUUGGUAAACGGGACUUGCAGGGAGAUAUUUUGACCUCACAGAUAAAGACCGCCAAAGAAGAAAGUUAAACUGGAAGGAUGCCAUCACGAGUGAAAUGAUCGCAUUUUAACAUUGUAAAUAGUAAUUUAAUUAUUAUUUAUUAUAGCGUAGUGACGUUAAUUUAUAACUUUAUCUUUUAAGGAUAAAUACAUUGUACAAUGUCGUUUCGUUACUUAAUUUUUGGUUAUUGGGCUUAUUUAAGUGUAUUUAAUUGAAGUGUAAUAAAAAAAAUUUUCAUGGGUUUUAGGUUAAAACAACUGUACAUAACGUUAAUGAAACUAUAUAAUAAGUGUUACUAUGUAUGUAUACAAAUGUGUGUUCGUAUUGUAUUUUUAUUAAAUUUUGUUUAAGACUUU